AGCUUAAGAAAACUUAGGGAUGACAUAAAAAUGCCAUGAAAAUGACUUGGGGAAGAUCAUUUCUUUAUCUGCACUGUCCAAUGUAAGGAAUGUGAUUGGCCAAGCCAGAAUUGGAGAAUAUUUCCCCAACAGACUUUCAGAAUUGAGAGGGGCCUGAGAACAGGGGAUUCAUUACUGCUAGAGAUUUAGAACAUGAGCUAUCAGGAGUGGGAGGGGCCUGAGAACAGGGGAUUCAUUACUGCUAGAGAUUUAGAACAUGGGCUAUCAGAAGUGAGAGGAACCUGAGAACAGGGGAUGUCAGAACCGGGAAGGGGCUGAGAACAUGGAAGGUCAGAGCUGAGAGCCUGAGAACAGAGGAUGUCAAGGCUGGGAGGGGUUUUAGAGAUGGUCUAGUCCCCACCCCCUCCCCCAUCUUACUAAUGAAAUCCAGUGACUUAGUCCAUGGGAUGGAGUCUAUCAUAUCUCCAAUUCAAUCAAAUGCAGUCCAGCCGCUCCUGUGAACCCGCCCCCUACAGUUAAAAGAAUCAACAAUGUGCUCUUCAAAGGACAUGAGCCCUUCAAGGGGAGGAUAGGACAAAGCCAGAACCAGGAUUUCCAGGUUUGCAGAAGCAUACUAAGUAAAAUAAGCUAAGAACCCCAACCCACUCAGGAUCAAGAAUGGGAGGGUAAGAAGCCUUCUGUGGGUAUCGGAAAAAUGUACCCAUGUUAAAUUUUCACAAAACAAGUCCAUGGAUAAUAAGUUUGUAGGAGGAAGAAGUAAAAAAAAAAAAUCAAUAAUGACUACUUAAACACAAGCAGCCCCUUUGAUGGUUACUAUUAAAAGCUUGGAA